rnacentral:lncRNA from 1 species
GGUGCGUUACUUUUCAUUUAUUUUAUUUUCCUUAGAUACAAACUUUAUGUUACCUUUAGGCUUCGCUAGGUUUGGAAAUUAGUAGGACUAGUUAUUUUAGGGAUAGCUACAAGUAUGAAUUUUUGUAAGAAUAAGGAUAUUCUUUUAUUUGGAUGAAAAUGUGAGUAUAAGCUGGAACUAAAAAAAUUAUGUUUGGAUGAUUAUUGAAAAUAAGAGAAAUAGUUGAUGGUUAUAAAUAUAAAAUAAUGAUAUUAUUCUUAUAAUUAAAUUUAAAUUUUUAAAUUUUAAAUUAAAAAUUUUAACUUUUAAAUUUUAAAAAUUUAAAUUAAAAUUUAAAUUUUAAAUAUUCAAAUUUUAAAUUUUAAAAUUUAAAUUUAAUACCAAAUUUAAAUUUGAAAUAUAUAAAAUAUCAAAUUUAAAAUUUAAAAAUUUAUAAUAUCAAAUUUAAAUUUUA